UGGUGAUUUGUGAGAUUUUGGUACACCCAUCACCUAUGUAUACACUGCACCAUAUUGGUACUCUUUUAUCUCUUCCCCCGCUCCCACUCUUCCCCCCAAGUUCCCAAAGUCCAUUGUAUCAUUCUUACACCUUUGCAUCCUCAUAGCUUAUUUCCCACAUAUCGGUGAGAAAAUAAGAUGUUUGGUUUUCCAUUCCUGAGAUACAUCACUUAGAAUAAUAGACUCCAAUCUCAUCCAGAUCACUGCAAAUACUGUUAAUUCAUUCCUUUUAAUGGCUGUGUAGUAUUCCAUUAUAUAUUUAUAUAUA